CAGAGUUUUUGCCUGGACAACCAGAGAUGGUGAAGCUCUGCAGGCCUGGCUGGGUUUUAGAGUCAGGACUGGCUUUGGGAGUACAGGGAAGCCUGCAGACAGCAUCAGAGAAGCCAGAGACUAGACCCAAGCUGAUCUGAACAUCAAUCUGAAGGGCUGGGACAGAGGCAAACUCAGGGAAGCCAGUUCUAGAAUUGGCUGUGGCUUUGGCAGAGACCAUCAGUACUAUUGCCUCAAUCAUCCAGCUCCCCACGACUUCCCGCAGGCCUGAGAUUGAAGCCAAGACCCAUAGGCCCAGCCCUCUAGAAAGCAGGUUUGUCAUCAUUACCGGCCCUAGGAAUUCACAAGCAGAUCCUCCCAGCUUUUCCUCUUGGUGACUUCUGAGGGCAUCACAGAUGAAGCCUUUGUGCCAGAUGGUCUCACGUUAGGCCCUGUGAAAGGAGCACUCACAGAGCCGUUGCACCUUUAAAGAAUUGCCCAUUUUCGAUACCUGGCAUAUCACUUGAAUAGAAGAAGUUUAACAGAAUUAACAGUCUGUGUCUGGAUGCAAGAUGGUUUUAACCUACAAUAUAUUUAGGGUGCUGCCCGUGCACCCCAGGGCUCCUUGAGGCAAUUAAAACCGUGCCCUUGGCAAUGUGGCUGACUUCAGUGGCUCUUUUGCCAGAGUUACAGCAGUUUCUCAUCAUGUCUGGAAGAGAUUAGAUUUGUGUGGUGUGGAGAGAGGACGCUUCUGACAACAUGAUAGGUCAUGUUGGUGGAAUUGUGGCAGGACCCAGAGUGCUCCCAGAAACUUCAUUUUCUUCCAAACAAAUGUAAAUGGGGUUCAAUUUACUGGUCAAAUUCAGCAACUAGAAGAAAUUACAUAAACUGUGAAGCCACAAGGAGCAAUUUUACUAAAAGUUAUGUUGGCCUACAUGGAGAAAUUUAGGCCAUGGAAGACUCAGGACCAUUUUAAGCUUUAUGUAGACUCUUUUGGAGGCAUCAUCACUUAGAUCAAACGAAUUAAAAUGCACCCACAUCUUGAAUUAAAUGUAAAAUUUUCCAUAAAAAUGUU
rnacentral:lncRNA from 10 species